rnacentral:rRNA from 1 species
UACGUAGGUGGCAAGCGUUAUCCGGAUUUACUGGGUGUAAAGGGCGUGUAGGCGGGACUGCAAGUCAGAUGUGAAAUUCCAGGGCUCAACCCUGGAACUGCAUUUGAAACUGUAGUUCUUGAGUGAUGGAGAGGCAGGCGGAAUUCCGUGUGUAGCGGUGAAAUGCGUAGAUAUACGGAGGAACACCAGUGGCGAAGGCGGCCUGCUGGACAUUAACUGACGCUGAGGCGCGAAAGCGUGGGGAGCAAACAGG